GGUUGUAUAGCUCAAUGGCAGAGCAUUUGCCUAGGAUAUAGAAGGCCCUGGGUUCCAUUCUCAGCACCACAA
rnacentral:tRNA from 1 species